rnacentral:rRNA from 1 species
AUUGAACGCUGGCGGCAGGCCUAACACAUGCAAGUCGAGCGGAUGAAGGGAGCUUGCUCCUGGAUUCAGCGGCGGACGGGUGAGUAAUUCCUAGGAAUCUGCCUGGUAGUGGGGGAUAACGUCCGGAAACGGGCGCUAAUACCGCAUACGUCCUGAGGGAGAAAGUGGGGGAUCUUCGGACCUCACGCUAUCAGAUGAGCCUAGGUCGGAUUAGCUAGUUGGUGGGGUAAAGGCCUACCAAGGCGACGAUCCGUAACUGGUCUGAGAGGAUGAUCAGUCACACUGGAACUGAGACACGGUCCAGACUCCUACGGGAGGCAGCAGUGGGGAAUAUUGGACAAUGGGCGAAAGCCUGAUCCAGCCAUGCCGCGUGUGUGAAGAAGGUCUUCGGAUUGUAAAGCACUUUAAGUUGGGAGGAAGGGCAGUAAGUUAAUACCUUGCUGUUUUGACGUUACCAACAGAAUAAGCACCGGCUAACUUCGUG